UCAGACACAAGUUUGUUCCGACACUCAU
rnacentral:sRNA from 1 species